rnacentral:lncRNA from 1 species
UCAGACAUUCUGGUCCUCACGGGCCAAGCUGGCCAGAGCUCCAAUCCCUUAUCACAGUGACCAAACUACAUAGAGAAAAAGAGGCAUGAAAACAAGGACUCUUACAAGACUUGCCAAAUGUUAGGCUGAACAAGUGAAAUAGCCAUUUUUAUGGGUUACAAAACAGUUAGACAUCAGUAACGGCAUUGAGUUCCACCUAAUUUGAACCAACGGGAAAGGUCAAUACUUAAUUGGAUUAAAAGAAGAAACACCUGGAGAUAAAAUAGCUAACAGAGGAAACAACAACAGCAAAAACACUUUCAAUAAGUAAAAUUAAUAUCAGAGAGGAUCAAGAGGUUAUUACACUCCUAGAAAAGAGGCUAACUGACACUAACAGAUGACUUGUCUUUUGCCAGGCACAGUGCAAUAAAACUUAUAUAUAACAUCCCAUUUAAUCAUCAUAACAAUUCUAAGAAGUGGGAACUCUCUUGUCCCAUUUUACAUGUGAGGGAAGUGAAGCAUGUCUUUGGGUAGCCAACACACCGCCAUUCUUAGUCCGUGUGUUUUGGGAAACGUGGAUCCUGCCUGACCAGAAGGGUGGAAAAGGAACACGUGUAGCAUGUGUGUCAGAGACCGACAUGCUAUGGCCUCCGAAGAAAAAUUGAUACACAAAUAAACUGGUCUUUUGCCUAGACUGUGUAAACCA